UUGUCAUUCCUUUAUAUGCUGGCAGUAUUUAUAUUGUAGAUUCAUUAAACAUGUUUAUUCCUUAAAGUAACUAAAAUAAAAUCAAUCAGUUUUAUUCUUAAAGGUAAUAAAAAGCUCAUCAAAAACACUGACAACAUGUUCUGCUGUGACUGUGUGAGUCAGGAAACAGUGUUCAACAUUUAACCCUGCGGUUUCAAGAAACUCCUCCUUCUCAUUCUGAUCUACAGUCAGUUCCCCAGCACAAUAAUCACGUGAUAAAACCAGCAGGCUGUUCACCAUUAGUUGGUGCUGUUGUUGCUUCCUUGUCUCUCCACGUACUUUCAGCACAUGGUGUUUUUAUUAUAUAUGAAACUGUUGUUUCAUUUUUAUUUGUGGAUUCACACAAACACAUUUAAUCAAACUUCAUCUGAUGAUUGUUUUACUGAGUAACCAUCAAAGAUGUUGGAUUGAACUCUCAAUGUCCUCUUCAGCUCCAUGUUUCCUGCUGAUGGUGCAGAGUUUAACCUCUGGUGUCAUCAUAUAAAAGAUAUACAUCACUAUGUAUGUGUUUAUGACUCUUCACCGCUGUCUCCUCUCACAGGGAGAAGAUGAUCUGCUGGAUCCUGCUUCUCAUCAACCUGACCUCCUGUGUCUGUGGAACAUUUGUAGUGAAUGUGACACAGACCUCCUAUCAGGCAGAGGAGAACAAUAACAUCACACUGGAAUGGACGUUCACAACCAACACUCACAGUUCCCUCAACUUCCUUUUUAUCUACAGUGAACUGAUUACUGAUCACAAGGUUUCAGUCCUCUAUAAUCUAAGGGAUGGUGUCGAGGUCUCAGAGUCUCAGGAUGAUCAGUUUAAAGGACGAGUCCAGUGUGACAAAGACGUCCUCAGAGAAGGACGAAUCAGACUUCAUGUGUCCAGACUCAGGACAGAAGACUCGGGUCGGUACCGGUGUAAAGUGAAAACAACUUAUGGUGACAACGUUGGUGAAUGUCGACUCAAUGUCACUGCAGCUGCUGAUGAGCCCAAACCUCAGAGACCAACAGAGAGUCCACAAGCAGAGAGUCCACAAGCAGAGAGUCCACAACCAGAGAGUCCACAACCAGAGAGUCCACAACCAGAGAGUCCACAACCAGAGAGUCCGGGAAUGAUAAUCCUCUAUGUUGUACUGGGACUGGCAGCAGCAGCAGCAGUCUGUUGUUGUUACUUUAGACGAAACAAGAAACAACCCAAUAGGUAUAAUGUUGAGAAAGGAAACGUCUAUGCAGUUGUAUAAAUGUUGAGUUUUAAGUGUCCGGAAACCAUUUGUAAUAUGAAAUGUAUAUUUUUCUGUUAAAUGGUGUUCAUGUUACUACAGGUUUAAGUUUAAAUGAAGUUAUGUAAUAAUGUAAUGUCAUAAAUGAAGUAAUGUUAAUGAUGCUUCCACUGUGAUCCCAGAUGUUCCAUGUUUGAUGUCAGACAGUUAACAUCAGAAGUAGAGCAAAGACAUCUAAACAGCCAUCGUCUGAUUGAUCCUCCACUGUAAGCUCUCUACAAUGUCCCAGUUGUUUGAGUUGUCAGUGUAUGAAGAGUUUCUCAGAGGAAUCAUUCACAUUGAGCUGUAAGUUGGUUCAGUCAUUGAUCGCUCUGUUCUCCCUCCAGCUGUUAUCAAUCAUCAGUCUUAAACAACGAGUCUGAAUCAACAAGAAAACAGCAUUAGAAGAGAAUUGUUCAUUAUUAUAUCUUAAUCCUCCUGAUGGAUAUUGUUACAAUGCACUGACUUUGUGCUCUUUAUAAUGUGUACAUAUUGUAAAUAAAUCUCUCUUUAUAUGAGAGAAGUUGUUAUCAAUCUUCUGUGUGUAAAUCUUUUAAUAUCAGACACCCAGAAGCUGUGAAUAUGUUCAAUAAAGUGCACACAGUGCAGAUCUCAGAUCUGUCUAAUAAGUGAUAGAGUUUGAUGAGGCGUCCUAUCAAAAUAAAGGACAGCGUAAAGGUGAACAACAGUGCAUUAUUUGUGUGUAUCAGUUGUGUACUUUGACUCUUAUACCAUGGCCACUUACUGAAGAAUAUAAAGGCAGGAUGGGUUUGAAUCUUUAGCAGCUUUUAACAUCAGAUAUUGUUGCUGGUUAAGGGAAGACAGACAGGAGACACAAUGGUGGUUUGUCUUUAUUUCACUUUCAUUUUGACGUUCAACAAAAUGGAUUCAGCCCCUCCUCCAGUCAGGAGUUGGGCUGGUGACAUCAUAAACCAGUUUUUCCUCAUACUCAUUAGUGUUGUGUUCCUUCUUGCUCGCCUACAAACGCGCAAGUAACUAAAACCUUCUGUAUGUUUGAAGUUUGUGUUUCAUAUUCUGUUCUUUAUUGAACUACUUUCAUCUUCAGCUGGAA
rnacentral:lncRNA from 15 species